UUCUGAUCCUCGCGCUUUUCUUGUGGUUGUUCCGCCGAGAUUUCACCGCGAAGAUGAUGUUGAAGUUGCUUACAGAUUGAAGCUUGUUAAGGAGUAAAUUGCAACCGUGAAGAUCUUCAGAGAAAGAUUGAAGAAGGUUUGAAGGAAGAUUGAAGAAUCGUGUUGAUGGUGAAUGAAGAUUGGAUAAGGUUCAAGAUUCGGUUAGAGGUUGAUGAAGAUGAAUUGAGAGGAUGAAGAUGAAGAAGAUUAUGGAUGAUCGAUGGUGGAGUUGGUUAUGAAGAUUCAAGAGAGGAUUGAAGGAUUAUUGAAAAUGAUGGAGAGAGAUUGAAAGAUGAUGAUGAAUUGUGAAGCGAAUCGAUGCCGAGAUGGUGAAGAUUGAAUUGGAUCUUGAAGAAAGUUUGUUACAGGCUGCAGAGAUCUCUUUUUUUUACAAAGCAUGGUUGCAAGCUGGGGGCUGUUUUGGAGCACGGAUGCAUUUUGGCAAGGCGUGAAUUCUUUUGGCGCAAAUAUCUGAGGGCCUUGGGUGUAAUUUUUGGUUUUAGAACAUGUAAUGGCACCACCGAAUGUACUAUUGAAGAGAGAUAAUGAAUGUAAUUGAUGGAACUUUUGAAUGGAUUUCAU